rnacentral:rRNA from 1 species
ACGCACGCUGGCGGCGUGCUUCACCCCUGCCAGUCGAACGGAAAGGCCCUGCUUUUGUGGGGUGCUCGAGUGGCGAACGGGUGAGUAACACGUGAGUAACCUGCCCUUGACUUUGGGAUAACUUCAGGAAACUGGGGCUAAUACCGGAUAGGAACUCCUGCUGCAUGGUGGGGGUUGGAAAGUUUCGGCGGUUGGGGAUGGACUCGCGGCUUAUCAGCUUGUUGGUGGGGUAGUGGCUUACCAAGGCUUUGACGGGUAGCCGGCCUGAGAGGGUGACCGGCCACAUUGGGACUGAGAUACGGCCCAGACUCCUACGGGAGGCAGCAGUGGGGAAUAUUGCACAAUGGGCGGAAGCCUGAUGCAGCAACGCCGCGUGCGGGAUGACGGCCUUCGGGUUGUAAACCGCUUUCGCCUGUGACGAAGCGUGAGUGACGGUAAUGGGUAAAGAAGCACCGGCUAACUACGUG